UGUAAGACACAUUAAAUAUAUAUAUAGUGACGUAUUUUGUAUUUAGACCUUAAAUAAAUAAAUCCCGAAAAUCAGCGACUUAAAUAGUCCUUCUCCAAUUCUAACUCUAAUCUCAGCUUUAAAAACCUUCUUCUACCCUCAGAAGCCGCCAUUCUCACACAAGGCAAAGCAAAACAAAGCAGAGGGCCCUAUUCUCUCUCUCAAUUUCAUUCUCGUGCUCGAAUCUUUCACAUCAAACUCAAAGAGUGAACUAACACCAUGGAAAGCAAACCACCAAGUUGGGCUGAUCAAUGGGGUGGGGGGAGCUACGGUGUCGAAGGGGACGGCGGUGAAAAGGCAGGGUCGAAGAAAGGCAGUGGGAAGAAGAUGACAGAGGUCAAAGCAGUGGCCUCGGCAGGACUCGGCAAGGCUAAGGUUGCAGCGGUCUUCGGUGCCCAAAAAGUGAAGAGUGGAACCUCUCUUGGUAUCAAAUGGGUUAAAAAUCAGUAUCAGAAAAGAACCUCUAAGUAACUUGUUGGAAAAGAACAAGUAAAGAAUGCGUGUAGAUUUUUCAGUCUAUCAAUUUAGUUUUUCGUUUCCUUUGGAUUUUGUGAGAUUUACAAAUUUUAUUUAAAUAAUUCAAUUUAUUAUUCUGUAAA